UAUUAGAGCUGUCAACAUUAAUGCACGUUUGUUUGUUUAGUUCCGGAAGUUGACUCGCUAGCUGCAGUCAAUAACAUCAAGAUAGAGAGAGGUUUUUGCAUUGGAAGUAAAAUAAACAGUGGUGCGACAUACAGCAAACAGAAGGGGGGUGAGUUGCAAACUAGUGAGUAUGCUAAGCUAGCUGCUAGGCUACUUCCAUCUCAACAUCUAACGUUACCCUGCGUGGCACAGUCUGCAGAGUACCACCUCUCUGGUUAAAUGUGGGGAGAUUGUUGGCACUUCAAACACAGCAAGUCGCUAGUUCAACAUGUUCCACCAGGUGGAAUUCUGUCAAAUGUGUGUACAGUAGUUUUGUGUUAAUAACUAAAAUAACUAAAGUUAUAAAAAUGAAUCAUGGCUGCAUUACUGAAUGCUGAAUUAAUGAAUGCGUUAAACGCAAAAUCGAAGCACUAACAUGUUCAGCAUUAGAAUUUACACAAAAUGAAACAGUUCUUAUAAAUAUCUGUUUCCAGGAACUAAUGAAUACAGGAUGUCGAAUGUGGCAGAGACUGCAAGACUAUAAAUGCCAUGGCAACAGCACACACCAGGUCGUCUUGGAAGCAAGGUUGAGAGCAAUACCCGUCUGUAUUCACCACGCCAUUUAAUCUGAAUAACACUUCAGAAUGCUGAAAAACUGAAAACAACAGAAAUAUCUAACAAAGAGAAGCCAAAACACUUCAAUCUUCAACUGAAACAACUAACAUGGAGCCUGAAAGCAUUAACAACACCUCUCUUUUCUACUGUGGUGGGAGAGAAAGAUCAAGUCUCCUGUUGACUUUAUUGCCACUGUAUCACACGUUGACACACUUCUUAGAGGGUAGGGGGGUUAGCUCUUUGUUCUGAGAGUUACUGCAGCUUUGUGUUGAAGGUGAGGAAUAGGGUCGCUGACUUUCUUAGUCAAUCCGCGUCUGAAUACAGGCCAGACCUCUUUGCUCCGCUCGUUCAAUCUUAUUACUUUGAAUAUCAAGACGCUCUUUGCCAGGAUAUGGAAGAAAAAAAAAACACUCGUUUGAAAAAGAAAUGGGGACAUCAUGGAUGUCAUGGAUAGGAAGUUCAAUCAUCGAUGCUGGGUUUGUAUCUGCCAGAUGCAAAAUGUUAUUGUGUUUGAAUGACUGGGAACAAAAUGGGGAGACGGUGUGAUGUUCACGGUGGAACUACGCCACCUGUUGAUAUACACGACACGUGAGUAAGGCAACAGUAACCGUGUAUGUAAGAGCCGGGGAAUAAAUGCCCGUGGGUAUUGAUCAAGCUGUGAUUCGUCUGGUGUUUAAACGUACUACAGAAACACUACAGACGUGACUAAAGCUAACUAACUCCUGCAAUUUGUGAUUGCAUAUGAACACCGUAUUAGUUAUGGUAAUGCAUACAUUCAGGGCCUAGUGUACUGACUGGGUUAAUUCAAAAAUGUGAAGCAUCACAAAGCAACACAUGCCGGUUAUUUCUACACGGCUAAGGAUAAAUUCUUUUAAUGUUGCUCGACAUUCAUCAGCUUGUGAACAUGAACCAUGGAAUUCCAUUGAAAAGGUGCAGCUAGCUGCCGCCAUAUGAAUGAAGACAACAGCAGCAGUUAUUUUUUUUAAAUAUUAAGUUAUAUAAAGUUUUUGUGGGAGGGGUGGACAGCAAAUUCCAGCUGCCUUUGAACAGACAAUUGCCUGCUGUUCGUUGUUUUAGCCUUUUAUCCUUGAAUUAAAUCAAUCAAGUUUAAUUCUUAAAAUGCAACAUGAGUUUUUUUUCAAAUCCCCAUAAACGUCAACUUUCAAAUCCUUCCAGCAACAGCCAAAAUUUAAACUUUAAAAUGUUGACUAUAUUUUUUAGAAAUUCGGCUACUCAACUUUUUUAAUGUCACUGAUUAUGUUUCAUGAGUUUUUCAGACCAAAUCUUUACAUGAGUGAAUAUGGGGAAGGUUAGAGUGGAGACUGAAAAGCUAGAGUGGAGAGCAGCUUCAGAAUCUGUUUUUAUUGGAUCCAAAAAAAUAGUUCUGGUUCUAAUUGCCACAAUUGUCACUGUUCAUGCUUCAUUUCUGGAUCAAAUGAUAGAAGUUUGUGCUGGUCGUAAACAUGUGGCUAUGGAAUCCAGUAGACGUAUACUUUUGGCCACAGAACCCUGAGAGUGAAACAAAGUCCAACUCUCGCUCGAUAGAGUCCAAUGGCAAUCUGGUGGCAAAUUUUUUAGAGAAAGCAGAAGGUGCAAGUUUUUGAAACUGCCAGAGGGCUUUUCUGACCACAGAGACAUGUAAAAGGUGUUAUGAUGCGCAAACGGACCCAAAUGCAACACGCAGGACCACCAAGGUUUCUCCUAAUCCAACAGGUGAAUUUAUUUCCUCCGGCAGGACAAAAAAACAGCAACAAGAGACACAAGUCAAUUGUGAAUGGCUGAAAAAAGAAACAAGUCAGAAUGGCCACGUGAUGACCGCGGCGCCCGUGCGCUCCGAUCCGUAAUCACUCGGAAGGGUGAUUAUGCCGCUGCGUGGCAGAGGAGCUCGACUGUGUGACACCAGAGGCUCGACACAGAAGUUGGUAGGUGCACAGCUGAUCUCCGUGGAACGAGCUGGCGACCUCUUCGGCCAGGUGAAUACCAGAGGUUCGACGCUGGACGGCAAGAGUGAAAAACCAAGCGGUUAUUGCAGAAUCACAAAGGACUGAAACAAUGUAACUCACGGCGCCGAGAUACCGGGAUGGUUUAACAGACGGACUGACAGCUGGGGCGAAGAAAGCCGGAGUAUUUAUGUCAGCUGGGAUAUUGGUGAAGAUGUGACACAGCUGUGUCAAUGAAGGAGGCGUGGCACUGGGCGGGACUCUGAGGACACUACUGGGGACACACAUCAACAUGAGGAGAGAAUAUAGGGGAAAAACACCAGGGUUAGACAGGAAUCCUCACAAAAGGAUGUUUCUGCGUUCAGCCUCUCGGGUAUCUCAUACAUCCAGAUUUUGGGGAUUGGGUGUAUUGUUUGGCGGUUACGUCCAAUGAUUUGAGGUUUGUAUUGUAGGUAAAUCUCUGUUAUUCUCUCUGCCCUAUGAUCAGCUCGUUAAUGAUCGCAGUAGCACCAUAACUGUGGUAACCACAGACACGCGCCACUCUCACACAGGUGAAUGGUUUGAAAUAAUAAAUGGAGUUAGUAUGCAGUCAACAAAUCAACAUCUUGCAGACACCUCGUUUGUCCCCCCCUCCAUCUACUUCCUCCUCACUCUUAAUCACUCACUCAUUAACCCUUUCUCCCCGAACCAAUCCUGUCAUUUUAAAAUAAAACUGCUUGUGAUUUGGCCUAUCAAUUAAUAACUUCUUAGUUUGAAGGAGAAACAUUGUCAUUCCCGUCUCUUCCUCACCCAAUCCCAUCAUUUUUAAAUAAACGCCUUAAUGAUUAUCUAUACUUUAACCAUGACACUCAGAGUGAAGCUGUUUGGUUGAAGUAUUUUUUGCUCUUUUAAAUACUGCUACAACUAAUAUUACUACAACUACUACUGGUAGUACUACUACAAUUAUUACUGUUAAUCCUAUUACGAACACUGAACUCGUACUAUUACUAUUAGUAGUAGUGACACUGUAAUUGAUAUUACUACUCUUACUAUUAUAAAAGGUACAACUAGUAUUUAUAGAGCUAUAAAUAAACUAAUAUGACUUAAUACUACUGUGACUAACUAACACUACUACUACUAGUAUUUCAACUGCUAUCUAUACUAAAACUACCACUACUUCUUAUACUGCUUGUAUUAUCCGUACACAUUACUACCAUAACUAAUACUACUACUAAUAUUACUACAAAUACAUAGCCAGCCAAUUCAUUUAAACUUCUCAUUUCUGUAUUAUCAGCAAAUUUUUUAAAUUCAAUUAAACUUUUUUCGUUUCUGUAUUUUCAGCAAUUUUUUUAAUUUACCUUUUACCUACAAACAUUUUCUGCGGCAGUUUCCUUUACAACAUUGGUGAUGCGGAGAAUAUUAGUAAAGCUGCUGUAUGCAGAGCCGUGAGAAAAGUGCCUCGCACUGAAACGUCUUUUAAAUGUUUUUUUUCCCUUGUUUUUGGCGGGAGGUCUUAGUCCUGAUGGACCUCAGCCUCCUCCCAGAUGGAAGCAACCAGUCCUUCUAUUACAACCUUUAUUCACACUGAAAUACCACUUCUGUUAAUGAAAGUGCAAAAACAAAGACUUAUCCAAGAAUACCUUCUGCUCUGUAUACAAGGUGAACUUAAAUAACUGAUUUUUACUUAAUUUCUUUGUAUUAGUAUGUAUUUAUUAUUCUUUAAUUAAAAUCAAUGUCUUAACUACAGAAUCAUCACUGAUUACUGCCAGACCAUUACUGAUUGGCCAAACAGACAAGAGACCGGAAUCUCCAUACUUCCACAAACUGCACCCCAUGCCUUUUUUAAAAUAUUUCCUGCCCAUCACUACCUUCUUAACAAUUACGCAACAAAUGUAAUGAAGGAGCUAGAAAAAACGUUUAAAACUGUUAGGUUUAUUCCGUUUUUGUUCACAGUUCUAAUUCAUUUCAUCCAGCAAUUCUAUAAUUCUGUUUUGGCCAGUUCAGUUGGAUAUACCGACCUUUCCCUUUGGCAGUGAGCUUAUUCAAAUGCUGCUUUCAACAUUAAGCUUUCAAAAUCCUGCACUGAUCCUGCACUAAAAUCCAAGAUUUUGGAAAAUUAGAAGAGCAUCUUUGUCAACACUGCCCAUCCCUCACAAACUCAAAUGGAAUAGGACGCUGAGGCCCUGGUUACAAAGCACCUGUGUUUGAGGCACCCACUUACCUCCAGUGGUGGGUUAUGGUUGGCACAACAGCCUGCAGGACAAGUCUGGGAAUUACAAAGCCACGGUCAGACACCUCUAACUAUCAGUGAUAAAUGUCAACCGCCUGAAGAGAAAAUCAGCUGCAGACAACUCCAGCAAAAAUAUUGAAAAAAGCAAACAUAUUUGAGGUAAACCUCGUGUUCUUUUUUUCUUGCUCCCUGUCUAAUAAUUUCUUCUCUGUAUCUAGUGAUGUUUCUGCAUCUUUGUCUUGUUCACCCUCCCCGAUUGGAUAAGAAUUUUGGACGUUCACACUGAAGCCAAUACAAUCUGCAAUGCGGAAGGGAAGAAACUGAAUGAGCCACAUACUAACAGUUUAGCAGUUAACUUUGUUUUGUUGCCCAUACUUAUAUGUCGUAAUUUAAUUUUGCUGAUAGCUGUUUUAUUUUGUCUUUUAUAUUUCACAGAUUUUUGACGAUGACAAUGCUGGAGCUGGUCAAGAGGACAUUACUACAUUGUGUGUGUGUGUGUGUGUGUGUGUGUAUAUAUGUAUGGGGAUGUUAUUGUGCAUUUGGAUGAGAAUUUUUAUUAGUUAUGUGGCUCACAGUUGACAGUCCCUGAGCAAGAGGUAUAACUCACGUAGCUCAUUAUUUUUAAUUAAGCUACAGCGCUUCUGUCUAAUCUCACCAGCUCUGCGUGCAUUUUCUAUGUUCUGUUCUGCUGCACUGCACUGCUGUAAAACAAUUACAUCAAUGUAACAUUCAGUUUGUCUUCUACAGCCAAUGAUUAUAACUAACAUGUCUGUGUAUGUAUUUGGUAAAUGCCUACAUAAUUCAUAAGCCAUUGAAUGUGUUGAAUAAUAUUCUUACAAAUGUCAAUGAAUGCAUUUAUUUGGCAAAGACUGGAGCUCAGAGGGUCACAUUUUGAUUUAUUUCAAUAAUAUAUCCUGUGUACUUCUGUGUGUCCUGUCACUGACACAGAAGGUGGUUGAAAGACAUCAUUCUGAAUGCUUGUGUGGUAGAUGGCAUGAGUAAUCUCUCAAGAUGUCAGUGAGGUAAUUUUAUUUUUCUCUCAACCACCAAAAGUUUGCCAUUAGGCAAUCAUGCUGCGUCAGGAUUUCUUCGCCUCCAAAGGAUUUCUGCAUUUUAUCGCACCUAAUACAUAUUCAAAUAGAAUGCAAGAUCUCAGUAAUAGUAAUGGCAUGCCAUAAAAUGAUCGGAUAGCAUUUACAGUGUCUGUGUGUGUUUUCUCUGUUGUGUUCACUUAGAAUCCCACAAUAAAUGCAGUAGUCGCUCCAAAACAUCUCACGCAUACUGUAUUGUUUCAUUGCAUUUGGAGUCCCAGGUGAUAGCAUUAAUAAUGUAAAGACUAGCGGGAAAUCAAUUCAUGGAUAAUUAUGAACGCUUGCAGACAGCUGAAAAUAUUUGUGCUGGCAAAACAAUUCCAAGGGCUUUAUUCAAUACGUAUUAGGCAUUUUGAGGGGAAAGGUGAUUUUGUGUGUUCAAAUACAUAUUCAUUUACAAUAAUUUAUUUAUAUGUAUAUAUAUAUAUAUAUAUAUAUAUAUAUAUUCAUAAUAAAAAUUCAAAUGUACAACAGAACACAGCAGUUAGAUGUGGCAAAGUACUUUGAGCACAGCUGUGUGUUCGGUGUUCCUCCAUUCGAUAGAGUUGUUUUAUUAAGCAGUUUGAAUGGCAGUGUUACUGCGCAGAGGCGCAGAGAGCAGGAGUGCAAUAGGUCAGAGGAAGAGAGGGGGGCUAGUGGUUAGAGGAGUUCAUCAAGGUUGAGAGACAGGCUGGCGGCCAACAAAGGGUCACCUUAACCUUGUAGAGGACAUACAUGUAGGGGAGGAGGACAUGGGGAGCAUUGUGUUCAAAACUUCAAGAAACUAGUUAUGAGGGACACACUCAGACGAGGGCGAGGUAGGGGAUUCAGGUCCCCCCAAUAUGAUGUUCCAUGAAUGUAUACAAUUUAGUAUUCUACAAAAAAUAAAGCUGUGUGAGACAGCUAGCCACGUGUAAAACUAGAUAAAGAUCUUGUUAGUCUUGUGCCUUUGCCAACGAGCUUUACAUCAAUCUUCUUGUCUACUCAAUUUUCAUGAUGAUUUUUAAUGAAGCCGGCUAGUUUACAUGGUAGACUCCAGUCUGUGCAUUUACACUUUACUCAAUGUGACCAACCAACAGUAAAAAU
ensembl:lncRNA